UCCCUGGUAGUAUAUCGGUUAGUACACGCGCCUGUCAUCGCUCACGAAUGCGAUGUCAUCUGCCGCGCGAAAGCUGGGUUCGACUCCCAGCCAGGGAG